GGGGCUGUAGCUCAGUUUGGGAGAGCGCUUGCAUGGCAUGCAAGAGGUCAAGGGUUCAAUCCCCUUCAGCUCCACCA
rnacentral:tRNA from 1 species